AACGUACGCUGGCGGCACGCCUAACACAUGCAAGUCGAACGAAGUAGCAAUACUUAGUGGCAGACGGGUGAGUAACAUGUAGGUAUCUGCCCUUUGGCCUGGAAUAACACGAGGAAACUUGUGCUAAUACCGGAUAAGUCUUUACGGAGAAAGCUUUAUGCACCAUUGGAUGAGCCUGCACUUGAUUAGUUUGUUGGUGGGGUAAUGGCCUACCAAGACUGUGAUCAAUAGCUGAUUUGAGAGGAUGAUCAGCCACAUUGGGACUGAGACACGGCCCAAACUCCUACGGGAGGCAGCAGUGGGGAAUCUUGCACAAUGGAGGAAACUCUGAUGCAGCGAUGCCGCGUGAGUGAAGAAGGCCCUUGGGUUGUAAAGCUCUUUCGUCGGGGAAGAAAAUGACUGUACCCGAAUAAGAAGGUCCGGCUAACUUCGUGCCAGCAGCCGCGGUAAUACGAAGGGACCUAGCGUAGUUCGGAAUUACUGGGCUUAAAGAGUUCGUAGGUGGUUGAAAAAGUUAGUGGUGAAAUCCCAGAGCUUAACUCUGGAACUGCCAUUAAAACUUUUCAGCUAGAGUAUGAUAGAGGAAAGCAGAAUUUCUAGUGUAGAGGUGAAAUUCGUAGAUAUUAGAAAGAAUACCAAUUGCGAAGGCAGCUUUCUGGAUCAUUACUGACACUGAGGAACGAAAGCAUGGGUAGCGAAGAGGAUUAGAUACCCUCGUAGUCCAUGCCGUAAACGAUGUGUGUUAGACGUUGGAAAUUUAUUUUCAGUGUCGCAGGGAAACCGAUAAACACACCGCCUGGGGAGUACGACCGCAAGGUUAAAACUCAAAUGAAUUGACGGGGACCCGCACAAGUAGUGGAGCAUGUGGUUUAAUUCGAAGAUACGCGCAGAACCUUACCAACACUUGACAUGUUCGUCGCGACUCUAAGAGAUUAGAGUUUUCGGUUCGGCCGGACGAAACACAGGUGCUGCAUGGCUGUCGUCAGCUCGUGUCGUGAGAUGUUGGGUUAAGUCCCGCAACGAGCGCAACCCUCACUUUUAGUUGCCAUCAUUAAGUUGGGCACUCUGAAAGAACUGCCAGUGAUAAGCUGGAGGAAGGUGGGGAUGACGUCAAGUCCUCAUGGCCCUUACGUGUUGGGCUACACACGUGCUACAAUGGUAUCUACAACAGGAAGCAAGACUGCGAAGUUAAGCAAAUCCCUAAAAGAUACUCUCAGUUCGGAUUGCACUCUGCAACUCGAGUGCAUGAAAGCUGGAAUUACUAGUAAUCGUGGAUCAGCGUGCCACGGUGAAAUGCGUUCCCGGGUCU
rnacentral:rRNA from 1 species